rnacentral:pre_miRNA from 1 species
UGGACAGAUUUUUGUAUUCAAUUGUGCUCACGGCGUAAAACAGGGGAUUACACUAUUUUUAAAUGGAAAGUGAAUCAAUUAACAUAAUAGACUCCU